UACUGAUGAGGUGCAGGCUAGCAGCGCCCGCCAACCGGCACUGAGCCUUGGACAAUCGGAGGUCAUUGAGAUUAAACUCUGCUUGCUUCGCAUCCUCCAUAUGUUCAGCAUGGAUGGUGACUUUGGUCCAUUGCUUGAGCUUAUCAAGUUACACAGAAUGUAUGGGCUUUUGUUGGUCAUGGACGUUCCUUGGACAGUUGGAGAUCAUUGUGAUGUUGGUGUAAUUGGGCUUACUAAGUGCUCUGGUACUCAUGGUCUUCUUCCCUGUUUUGACACCUUUUUCCACAAUCAUGUCUUCCGCAGUGUUCGCAUCAAUGAGGCUGAAUGCAACAAAUCAAAGCUACUUGUGAAGACCCCAUCCAACAGCUCAUCAGCUAACAAAAGGUCCCCUGAUCCAUCAGGUCAAUUAACCAGAGCAAGCACAUUUGACCAUGCAUCUUCUAGCAAAAGCGUUCCAUUUCUGAGGAAUGGAACAGUAACAAAAGAAAACCUAGCAGACACCUCCUUCUGCCACCAGAUUAAGCUCACAGCUGAAUUGAAGAGUUACAUCAAAGAGAUUGCAGAUUGUCUAGAAGAAUCAAACAAGUUCUAUGUAGUGCGUAUGAACAGAACAUUCAUGGAACAGGACAGAGUGUACUUUGCGACUGAGUUUUCAAAGAAAUACAUUGUGAACUUGGUUCGAGGCAAGACAGCAAACAUUAGAGUGCAGAUUGCAGGUCGACCCUCAACAACUUAACAUCAGGGUGGUUAGCUUUGCAGCAGCCAACAGCAUCAACUUACACAAUCUGCAUCUUCCACUUUUAUAGGACACAAGUCACCUCAUGCUCACCAUAGAUGCUCUGUGAAAGUUACCUGCAUCUUCAGUAGUCGCUGCUAUUAUCUACCCUGGAACGGCUACUAUAAUUCUCUCUAUUAUCCUUUGCUUGCGGUCUAUCUAACUUCACUUGCUCAGUAAGCACGUGACCUAUAACUGCUUAUCAUUGUCCUCAGCUCCUUUUGUUAUUCAUAAGCUGAGUGAACAAUUAACCACUUUAUGUACAAACAGCUAGCUUGUUAUACUACAGGUUACUAUGGUACU
rnacentral:lncRNA from 1 species